GACGAACGCUGGCGGCGCGCCUAACACAUGCAAGUCGAACGAGCGAGAGAGAGCUUGCUUUCUUGAGCGAGUGGCGAACGGGUGAGUAACGCGUGAGGAACCUGCCUCAAAGAGGGGGACAACAGUUGGAAACGACUGCUAAUACCGCAUAAGCCCACGGGGCCGCAUGGCACAGAGGGAAAAGGAGCAAUCCGCUUUGAGAUGGCCUCGCGUCCGAUUAGCUAGUUGGUGAGGUAACGGCCCACCAAGGCGACGAUCGGUAGCCGGACUGAGAGGUUGAACGGCCACACUGGGACUGAGCCACGGCCCAGACUCCUACGGGAGGCAGCAGUGGGGAAUAUUGCACAAUGGGGGAAACCCUGAUGCAGCGACGCCGCGUGGAGGAAGAAGGUCUUCGGAUUGUAAACUCCUGUUGUUGGGGAAGAUAAUGACGGUACCCAACAAGGAAGUGACGGCUAACUACGUG
rnacentral:rRNA from 1 species